AAACUCAAAGGAAUUGACGGGGACCCGCACAAGCGGUGGAGCAUGUGGUUUAAUUCGAAGCAACGCGAAGAACCUUACCAAAUCUUGACAUCCUUUGACAACUCUAGAGAUAGAGCCUUCUCCUUCGGGGGACAAAGUGACAGGUGGUGCAUUGUUGUUGUCUGCUCGUGUCGUGAGAUGUUGGGUUAAGUCCCGCAACGACCGCAACCCUUAAGCUUAGUUGCCAUAAUUAAGUUGGGCAAACUAAGUUGACUGCCGGUGACAAACCGGAGGCCGGUCCCGAUGACGUCAAUUCAUCAUGGUCGUUAUGAUUUGGGCUACACACGUGCUACGAUGGACAAUACAAAGAGAAGCGACCUCUCGAGGUCAUCCAUAUCCCAUAAAGUUGUUCUUCGUUCGGAUUGUAGUCUGCAACUGGACUACAUUAAGCUGGAAUCACUUGUAAUCGUAGAUGAGUAUGCUACGGUGAAUUCUUUCUCUGGUAUUGUACACACCGCCCGU
rnacentral:rRNA from 1 species